rnacentral:tRNA from 1 species
GAGAAAGUUAUAGAGGUUAUAAGGCUGACUUGAAAUCGGUUUUAGGGGGUUCGAUUCCUUCCUUUCUUA